rnacentral:tRNA from 1 species
AGUUAAUGAACUUGAAUAAGUAUAUAUUUUGAAAAUAUAAAAAAGAGCCAUAAUCUCUAUUAACUU